GCGAGUAUAGGUAAAUGGUAAUACCGUUAAUCUUCCAAAUUAAAGAUUACAGGUUCGAGUCCUGUUAUUCGCU
rnacentral:tRNA from 1 species